GUUGUUUCAGAUAAAUGCUAUUUUUCUGAUAGUUUCAUCUUUCUUUCUUUUCUUUUUCUUUUUCUUUUUUAAAUUAUUUUACC